rnacentral:rRNA from 1 species
AUUGAACGCUGGCGGAAUGCUUUACACAUGCAAGUCGAGCGGCAGCACGGGGGCAACCCUGGUGGCGAGCGGCGAACGGGUGAGUAAUACAUCGGAACAUGCCCAGUCGUGGGGGAUAACACUUCGAAAGAAGUGCUAAUACCGCAUACGUCCUGAGGGAGAAAGCGGGGGAUCUUCGGACCUCGCGCGAUUGGAGUGGCCGAUGUCAGAUUAGCUAGUUGGUGGGGUAAAGGCCUACCAAGGCAACGAUCUGUAGCUGGUCUGAGAGGAUGAUCAGCCACACUGGGACUGAGACACGGCCCAGACUCCUACGGGAGGCAGCAGUGGGGAAUUUUGGACAAUGGCGCAAGCCUGAUCCAGCCAUGCCGCGUGUCUGAAGAAGGCCUUCGGGUUGUAAAGGACUUUUGUCCGGGAGCAAAUGCCUGGUGUUAAUAGCACUGGGAGCUGAGAGUACCGGAAGAAUAAGCACCGGCUAACUACGUGCCAGCAGCCGCAGUAACAC